rnacentral:tRNA from 1 species
GCCCCGAUAGUGUAGUCCGGUAACCUUUUGGGCAAGCCAAAAGCUUAACCAAAAUUCGUGCGGCGUAAAGCCACACAGGUUGGAUAACCAAUCAUCUCGGAUUCUCGAUCCGAGGACGUGGGUUCGAAACAACCCUUAUCAGCGUUGACGGAGCUGUACGACAUUCGCUCGUAUAACUCGCUCAGUCCUACGAUAAGAGUUGGCGAAAUUCCCGCUCGGGGCA